GACGAACGCUGGCGGCGUGCUUAACACAUGCAAGUCGAACGGUGAAGCGCCUUCCUUUUUGGUGGGUGUGGAUGAGUGGCGAACGGGUGAGUAACACGUGAGUAACCUGCCCCCUUCUUCUGGAUAACCGCAUGAAAGUGUGGCUAAUACGGGAUAUUCUGGGUCUGUCGCAUGAUGGGUCUGGGAAAGAUAUUGUUUCGGUGGGGGAUGGGCUCGCGGCCUAUCAGCUUGUUGGUGGGGUGAUGGCCUACCAAGGCGGUGACGGGUAGCCGGCCUGAGAGGGUGGACGGUCACGCUGGGGCAGAGACACGGCCCGGACUCCUACGGGGGGCAGCAGUGGGGAAUAUUGCACAAUGGGCGCAAGACUGAUGCAGCGACGCCGCGUGAGGGAUGGAGUCCUUCGGGUUGUGAACCUCUUUCGCCAGUGAAGCAGGCCUGCCUCGUUUGUGGGUGGGUUGACGGUAGCUGGAUAAGAAGCGCCGGCUAACUACGUG
rnacentral:rRNA from 1 species